GGCUCAGUAGCUCAGUUGGUUAGAGUGCCGGCCUGUCACGCCGGAGGUCGAGGGUUCGAGUCCCUUCUGAGUCG
rnacentral:tRNA from 2 species